CCUACGGGUGGCAGCAGUGAGGAAUAUUGGUCAAUGGGCGGAAGCCUGAACCAGCCAAGUAGCGUGCAGGAUGACGGCCCUACGGGUUGUAAACUGCUUUUAUACGGGAAUAACGCGCCUUACGUGUAGGGCUUUGCAUGUACCGUAUGAAUAAGGCACGGCUCAUUCCGGGCCAGCAGCCGCGGUAAUACGGAGGGGCCGGGUGUUAUCCGGAUUUAUUGGGGUUAAGGGAGCGUAGGCCGCAUGUCAAGGCUGCUGUGAAAUGUGCGGGCUCAACCCGGGCCUUGCAGCGCGAACUGGCGUGCUUGAGUCCACGGAAAGCAGGCGGAAUUCGUCGUGUAGCGGUGAAAUGCUUAGAUAUGACGAAGAACCCCGAUUGCGAAGGCAGCUUGCUGCAGCGGAACUGACGCUGAUGCUCGAAAGCGCGGGUAUCGAACAGGAUUAGAUACCCGUGUAGUC
rnacentral:rRNA from 1 species